UUAUUUCUUCUUUUCAAUCUCCUCAAUCGCAUUUUCCUUCUCUCUCCCUCUUCUUUCUUUGUUUCUUCCUCUUCUUUCUUCUCUUUUUUCUCAGUUCCGUCCCGUCCACCACGACAACUCAUGUCUCUCACUCUCCUCAAUCCUCUUGCGUCUUCUGAUCCCUCUCUCCGCUAAGAAUGUUCCCGGCCCGCCGAGAGUCCAUACUCGCCAGCAGCCCUCUACCUCCAUCCUCCAAGGCCUCUAAUUGGAGAUGGCGUUGAAAGAGAGUUUAAAUAUGUUCAAGAAGCAGCAAGAAAGUGCGCAGUCACUUCUUAUCGGCAUUGCAUCUGAUAGGGCCACAGCAACGCUGAGACCUGCGCCUGCGGUCACUAAAGCUCCUGCUCCAGCUGUCAAAUUUUCAAAUGAUACUGAGAGGCUUCAACAUAUUAAUACCAUACGGAAAGCCCCUGUUGGAGCUCAGAUGAAGCGUGUUAUAGACCUGCUGCGGGAGGUUCGAAUCAAACUUACAUUUCCUCCCAUUAUUUGCUUGAUGUAAAUGAUUAUUAUAUUGCUUUAUUUACAAACCUCCAAAUGAGUCAUAACAAUUCAUAACCGUCUAGUGUGUGUACUUUAAAUCCUGAAAGACAAAUAACUUUGAGGUGUCCUUGUUUGAACUACAACCUUGUCUGAACCCCAAUAUGAUGUUUUGAGUUUCAUGUUGAUUUAUACAAUAAGUUGUAAGGAGCACGAUUUUUGUAGAGAUUCUUGGCAUGUAA